rnacentral:rRNA from 1 species
CGCCUAGGGACUACGAGCGCUAGCUUGAAACCUAAGGACUUGGCGGUGUCUCAAACCUCCUAGAGGAGCCUGUCCUAGCACCGAUAACCCCCGUUUAACCUCACCACUACUUGCCAGCCCCGCCUAUAUACCGCCGUCGACAGCUUUCCCCUCAGGGCCAAAUAGCAAGCAAAACAGACCCUAAACCUAACACGUCAGGUCGAGGUGUAGCGCACUGUAGUGGGAAGAGAUGGGCUACACUCCCUGUAUCAGGGACCACGAAGAGGGUCCUGAAAUUGGACCCCUGAAGGAGGAUUUAGCAGUAAAAAGGAAAUAGAGCGUCCUUUUGAAGGAAGGCCUUGAGAUGCGU